GGCCCGGCCGGCGGCUGCAGCGACUCUGGGUGCUGCCUGGGUUCCGAUGGUGGCCCGGCUCCUCCAGCCUGCCAAGUGCCUUGCGGACCAGCAGGCGGCGGUAGAGGCUCACCGUACUUCGGCCCUCCUCCCAGGGGGCCGGCUCGAAAAGCCAGGCUUCCUCCACGUUCAGGUGGAAGCCGGUUUGCACCCUCGGCGGGCUCGCGAGAAAGCCGAGCAUCCUCCUCAGGCGCCCGGAGCCGGAUGCGGACGGGGCAGGGCGAGCGCACGUGGAGCGUGUUUACAAACAGAGGCCGAGGCGCCGGGGCCGCAGAACGAGCUGGAGCGAAGGUCGUGAGGCCAGAUCCUGAACCUUAGCUGUGCUGGAUGCGGCAUUCUGGUGCCCGAAUAGGACUCUGGAGAACAAGAUUUGCCUGAGUGAAAAAGGAAAAGUAGGAAUUCAUCAGAAAGGUGGAAAAGUUCACUGUGCACAAAACCUGUACCAGCUUUGGAGUUGCGAACUAAAACUCCUCCAAGCCUGUGUGGAUUCCUGCAACAUGAAUCUGAGAGAGGACCUUGCACAUGGAGCCUAAAACUGUACCUGCAACUGCAGACAAUCGACUACUUCAGCCAUAGAUAGCAGUAGCCACAAGCAAUGUGCUGAAGAUAACAGUCCAGGAUGGUAAAGAAGCCUUGCCAUGCUAGCAGUGAUCAGUUGUGCAAUGGUGCAGGUUGCCCUGGAAAAGCCAAAGAAGGUCAGACCUGCAUUGUCAUUGCCUACCAUUUGUCCACCAUCCAGAACUCAAAUAUCAUUGCUGUAAUGUCACAGGGAACAUGAUUGGGAUGAGAACCCAUAAAGAACUGAUGGCCCAGAAAGAAGCCUACUACAAAUUAGUUCCUUAAAUGCCUGGCAGUGAUUUAAAAAGGACAUAAGAGAACUCAAUUCUUUUCACUGAAUCUCCCUACAGUUGCUUUUUAGCAUAACCACUAUUGUCUUUCUCAUUCUUGUUCUUGCAUUUUUAAUUCUAGUUUGCAGAUGUAGAAUGAAAAGUCUUAAAAGAACUCAAGACCUGCAAACAGCAUUCACCUUUCUAGAUUUAUUAAGAAAAUAAACAGGGGGAAAUGCUGGAGGCUAAAACCAACAGUAAUUAGCAUAUCAUGCAAAAAGACCCAUUGGAAGGCCAAUGGACUUUGAUAUUCAGCAGGGCUGAAAAUCAGCAUAAUAUUGCCCUGCUGUGGGCUCCAUGGCUGGAGGCAAUCCCCUAACCUGAUAAUCCUUUUACUGUUUACCAAACUUUACCUUUGAUACACCUGUGUGCAUUCCUAAAGGGCAAAUGUGUAUUCAAGUGAAUAAAAGCUGACAGGUCCAGGGUUUGAGUGAGCUUCUCCUCUAGAGAGAGGUUUCCACCUGGCUCCCAUGCCUUCUAAAUUCA